UACGGAGGGUGCGAGCGUUGUUCGGAAUUACUGGGCGUAAAGCGCGCGUAGGCGGGUCUUCAAGUCGAUUGUGAAAGCCCGGGGCUUAACUCCGGACGUGCAGUCGAUACUGUUGAUCUUGAAUACCUGAGAGGAUGGCGGAAUUCCCGGUGUAGGAGUGAAAUCCGUAGAUAUCGGGAGGAACAUCAGAGGCGAAGGCGGCCAUCUGGCAGGCUAUUGACGCUGAGGUGCGAAAGCGUGGGGAGCAAACAGG
rnacentral:rRNA from 1 species